rnacentral:ncRNA from 1 species
AAGCCUGGUCCUGACUUUACCAUCCGCCCCAGCCAGAUUUAUACAUGCAAGUAUCCGCACCCCCGUGAGAAUGCCCCUAAGAUCCUGCCCGGAAAUGAGGAGCAGACAUCAGGCACGCCCACGCAGCCCAAGACGUCUUGCUUAGCCACACCCCCAAGGGAACUCAGCAGUAAUAAACUUUAGACCAUGAGUGUAAACUUGAUCUAGUUAUGGUUAUAAGAGGGCCGGUAAAACUCGUGCCAGCCACCGCGGUCAUACGAGUGUUAGCCCAAGUGGAUGGUUAACGGCGUAAAGAGUGGUUAGGGACCCCCAAAACUAAAGCUGAACGCCCGCAGGGCCGUUAUACGCAUCCGAGAGCAUGAAACCCCACCACGAAGGUGACUUUAACUUUACCCGAACCCACGACAGCUAGGGUACAAACUGGGAUUAGAUACCCCACUAUGCCUAGUCGUAAACUUUAAUAGAAGCCGCACCCCCUCUAUUCGCCAGGGCACUACGAGCACCAGCUUGAAACCCAAAGGACUUGGCGGUGCUUUAGACCCACCUAGAGGAGCCUGUCCUAGAACCGAUACCCCCCGUUCAACCUCACCACUUCUAGCCCAAACCGCCUAUAUACCACCGUCGUCAGCUUACCCCGUGAGGGACUAAUAGUAAGCUAAACUGGCACAGCCCAAAACGUCAGGUCGAGGUGUAGCGCACGAAGUGGGAAGAGAUGGGCUACAUUUUCUGACCCAGAAAACUACGGAAGGAAAAAUGAAAAGAUUCCUGAAGGAGGAUUUAGCAGUAAGCAGGGAGUAGAGCGCCCCGCUGAAAUAGGCCCUUAAGCGCGCACACACCGCCCGUCACUCUCCCCAAAUCCUACCCUGCCAUAACCUAUAGCCUUAAAUGGAUAAAGGGGAGGCAAGUCGUAACAUGGUAAGUGUACCGGAAGGUGCACUUGGAAAACACAGUGUGUGGCUAAAUAGUAAAGCACCUCCCUUACACCGAGAAGAUGUCCGUGCAAUUCGGACCACCCUGAUUCUAAAAAACUAGCCCGCCCCUUAGAGAAACAACCCCCUCUAAAUUAUAUUACCCGCACUACAAGCAACAAACCAUUUUACUUCCCCAGUACCCGGGCGACAGAAAAG